GAACGGUAACAUUUCUAGCUUGCUAGAAGAUGACGAGUGGCGGACGGGUGAGUAAUGCUUGGGAACUUGCCUUUGCGAGGGGGAUAACAGUUGGAAACGACUGCUAAUACCGCAUAAUGUCUUCGGACCAAACGGGGCUUCGGCUCCGGCGCAAAGAGAGGCCCAAGUGAGAUUAGCUAGUUGGUAAGGUAACGGCUUACCAAGGCGACGAUCUCUAGCUGUUCUGAGAGGAAGAUCAGCCACACUGGGACUGAGACACGGCCCAGACUCCUACGGGAGGCAGCAGUGGGGAAUAUUGCACAAUGGGGGAAACCCUGAUGCAGCCAUGCCGCGUGUGUGAAGAAGGCCUUCGGGUUGUAAAGCACUUUCAGUUGUGAGGAAAAGUUAGUAGUUAAUACCUGCUAGCCGUGACGUUAACAACAGAAGAAGCACCGGCUAACUCCGUGCCAGCAGCCGCGGUAAUACGGAGGGUGCGAGCGUUAAUCGGAAUUACUGGGCGUAAAGCGCACGCAGGCGGUUUGUUAAGCUAGAUGUGAAAGCCCCGGGCUCAACCUGGGAUGGUCAUUUAGAACUGGCAGACUAGAGUCUUGGAGAGGGGAGUGGAAUUCCAGGUGUAGCGGUGAAAUGCGUAGAUAUCUGGAGGAACAUCAGUGGCGAAGGCGACUCCCUGGCCAAAGACUGACGCUCAUGUGCGAAAGUGUGGGUAGCGAACAGGAUUAGAUACCCUGGUAGUCCACACCGUAAACGCUGUCUACUAGCUGUGUGUGCCUUUAAGGCGUGCGUAGCGAAGCUAACGCGCU
rnacentral:rRNA from 1 species